AUUGCUAAAACCUUUGAARACAACUAUGUUAAAGGGUGGACUAGUUGCUAAAAGUCAGAAGAUGUAUAUCCAGUUGCUUUGACUCUUCACUGUGUGGCUCAACUGCGAAAGCUGCUCAAAAACUCACUUGAAAACAGGACAGAAAAGAUAUGUGGAUUCCUGAAGCGUAUAACAAGAGAUGAAUUGAAGAAAGGUCUGGAGGGAAUUUUACAGAUGUCCUAGUCAUGAGAAACUUUGCAAAAAGCUUGUGAAGCUGCCCACAGACUUGAAGCUGUGAGAAAUCUGAAAUGUCAUGGAUGACUGUGAUGCUGCUUAAAAUUGCUGAGGUUAAUGGACUGCAUGGUCUCCUACAGAAAUAAUUUGAAUUAAAUCAAGACAUAAGCAAUUUUAUGAAACAUAAUCAAACUGAUGGCAAGGGUGUGAGA